rnacentral:rRNA from 1 species
CACUCCUACGGGAGGCAGCAGUGGGGAAUUUUGGACAAUGGGCGAAAGCCUGAUCCAGCAAUGCCGCGUGUGUGAAGAAGGCCUUCGGGUUGUAAAGCACUUUUGUCCGGAAAGAAAUCCUUGGCUCUAAUACAGUCGGGGGAUGACGGUACCGGAAGAAUAAGCACCGGCUAACUACGUGCCAGCAGCCGCGGUAAUACGUAGGGUGCGAGCGUUAAUCGGAAUUACUGGGCGUAAAGCGUGCGCAGGCGGUUUGCUAAGACCGAUGUGAAAUCCCCGGGCUCAACCUGGGAACUGCAUUGGUGACUGGCAGGCUAGAGUAUGGCAGAGGGGGGUAGAAUUCCACGUGUAGCAGUGAAAUGCGUAGAGAUGUGGAGGAAUACCGAUGGCGAAGGCAGCCCCCUGGGCCAAUACUGACGCUCAUGCACGAAAGCGUGGGGAGCAAACAGGAUUAGAAACCCUAGUAGUCCCAUG